ACGCCUACGGGCGGUCUUAGAGGGGCUUGGAGACGUUCCAAAAUUUCAAGACUCAUAUAGAGAAUUCUGGUACGUAACUGCUCCCUGGCAAUCAAUCGUGUGAAUCCCAAUCGUCUCUGCGUUUCCUUGUUCCAGGUUAGGGUUUCUUUAUAUACCAAUUUCAUGAUCGUUGAAAUGGAUCUAAGAUCGUGGCUCUUUUUAUACCUUUCUUCCAUUUCUACCCCCUUCAUCCACCUUUUCUUCAUACUCUAUGUACAUUCGUCAAUUCAGAAACCAGAGGCCGGACCACCCAAGCAGCACAACAGUGUAUGUUGCUGCUUUAUUUUAAUGAAAUUCUUUCCGGGGGUUCACUCUUUUCUAAGAUGGCAUCAAUGUUAGAGGACUAAGCUGAUUUCACCGUUCUUAGUUGGUUGUGGUGGUGUUAGGUGGUGGUUGUGAAAGUGCCGAAGCAUGUGGAGACUUUGAUUGCCAAUGAGAAGGUCGCUGAAGAAGAUCUUAAGUUGUUUGAUGCUGAUUUUGUCAAAGUUGAUCAGAGUACUUUUUUUAAUCUUAUUCUUGCAGGUUUUCAUUUUAUUUUUUUGAUAUUUUAAAUAUGAAUAUUGUUUGUUGAUGAUGGUUAUGUGUAAUUUGUUGCCCUAAAUUCCCUGGUUACUCAAACAAUAGAAGAUUUAACAGUGGAUUCCCAAAAUUGGAUAAGAAGAGUAGUAAAAUAUUCCCAGUUUACCCUUGUUUUCCCGAACAUCAGUUCUUCACGUAUCAAGUCAAGUGCUUGGUUGGAACUGGAGUUGAGCUACCACCCGUUUGGAUGGGAUUCGGACAGGGGAAAGCAUUUAAAAAGUUGUGUGUAUUUGUUGUUAGUUGACAUGUCGUUGACUGUUUCAUCUGCUGCUUGUGUUGCACCAUUGAAUCAGGUUGUCAGAGGUGUCGUUGCUUAACCACCGUGAUGUUUGUAAUGUAUCAGAAAGUUUCAUCUGUAGGUGUACCGCUCGUUGGACUAAACUGAAGUGGAGAUGGGGCAUUUGGAAGGUAGGAAGGCGGAUUCAUGGAUAACAGAUGGUGCAUUUUCAAGCUAGGAAUGGAGGAUUCGUGGAUAGUAGAUGGUGCAUUUUAGCAUUCCGGUCUCAAUCAGGAAGCAACCAUGAGUGAGAAGGAUCUGCAGUAGCGUGCUGAGAUCAAGAGACUGUUGAAAGAGGCAACUGCACUAUACAAUGAUACUUCAUAGUUCAUACAUAUACAUGUAGGUUAGGUAAACGAGUCCAAGUAAGCAGGGGAGUAGGUUAGUAGGUACCCGGGGGUGCACCCGCCCCUUCCAAUGUUUUGGUUAGAAGUGUAUAAUUUCCUAUUUUCCGUCCAAAAAUUUUUAAAAAUUAUAUAGGAUCGCCCCUCCAAUUAUUUUGCCGAAAUAUUUAUACAGUGUAUAAAUUAAAGUAAAGUUUGUUACCACUUUAAACCUUAAAUGUCAUCGGGCUCAGUUGUAAUUCUUUGUCCAUGCUUCAUUUAUCUGGUACCAUUCUAUAUAUAUUGGUCUUUUGUUUGUUAAACAAUAUUUAGUUUUUUUUUUAUAUGUAAGAACGAAUCCUUUGAAUGAAUGAAAUUUUUUUAGUUUUAUUUGGAAAUAUUAUUAUUUAUUAUUUGACCUGACCCGAAUCGAAUAGCCGGCCCGACCCGAAACAUAACGAUAGGAAAAAAAUUGAGUCCCAUGACUUUACGCUCUGUCGAAACUUUUGGUCAAGCUUCACCAUUGCAAGUAAGCAACAAAAGGGUUAAACUUUUUCUAAUUUAAAUCACUUACAACCUUUUCCAUUUCAGGUUGUCUAAGAGGCAUGCACAAAUCUUUUUACUAAAGGUCUUGAGGUUUCGCCACUUGUUUCAUAUAUUGGAGAAAACCUUGAAGCAAUCUGUUGCGGUAGAACAUUAACAUUUCAUGCUGGUUGUGAAAUCACAUUCUAUCUUUUUUCUUUUUUUAUUAUUACUUUUUUUUUUACUAUUUCAUGUUUUAUACAGAAUAAUAUAUGAUUAGAAUUUGUAUGGAUCCUUCCAUAGCUCUACAUAUACUGAGAUUGUUUGUAACGUAACUUCAU